CACGCAGGCGGUGCUGCGCGUUUCGCGUGACAGCGGGUGGCUUAACUGCCCGAGGGUGCGAAAGACGGCAGGACUGGAGGGCCAGAGAGGGACACGGAAUUCCGGGUGGAGUGGUGAAAUGCGUAGAGAUCCGGAGGAACACCAAAGGCGAAGGCAGUGUCCUGGCUGGUGACUGACGCUGAGGUGCGAAAGCCAGGGGAGCGAACGGGAUUAGAUACCCCGGUAGUCCUGGCCGUAAACGAUGACCACCAGGUGUGGGAGGGCUCGACCCCUUCCGUGCCGGAGGAAACCCAUUAAGUGGUCCGCCUGGGGAGUACGGUCGCAAGAUUAAA
rnacentral:rRNA from 1 species